AUGCUCUCUGUUUCCUGCUCAGGACUUGUGAUCUUGUUGAUACUCAGAAGGACCAAUGGAGAUUUAGUGACCCAAGAAAAAGGUCCUGUUACCCUUCCAGAAAGGGCACCUCUAUUCCUGAACUGCACAUACCAGACCAGCUAUCCAGCUUCCCUUUUCUGGUAUGUCCAGUAUGAAAGCAAAGCACCUGAGCUUCUCCUGAAAAGCUCAUCAGGAAAUCAGGAUGUGGACAACAGGGGUUUUCAGGCCAAUCAUGUUAAGAGUGACAGAUCCUUCCACCUGAAAAAACUCACAGUUCAACAGUCAGACAAAGCUGUGUACUACUGUGGUCUGCGGGACACAGUGAAAGGGAAUACAGGGGAAGCUGAGCAGAAACUCUGCACAUAUAAAGCACUAGGUGUGGGAAGCCCUGGAGAAGGUUUAUUUUUGUCUCCACAGACAGAGUUCUGUAGAGUACUUCCUCAAGUACUUCCAGCUUGA